rnacentral:rRNA from 1 species
AGUCGAGCGAAGUCUUCGGACUUAGCGGCGGACGGGUGAGUAACGCGUGGGAACAUACCCUUUGGUACGGAAUAGCCUCGGGAAACUGGGAGUAAUACCGUAUGUGCCCUUCGGGGGAAAGAUUUAUCGCCAAAGGAUUGGCCCGCGUUGGAUUAGGUAGUUGGUGGGGUAAAGGCCUACCAAGGCUGUGAUCUGUAGCUGGUUUGAGAGGAUGAUCAGCCACACUGGGACUGAGACACGGCCCAGACUCC